AGAGAUGAAGAGCUUGCUCUUUAUCAAAUCCAGUGGCAAACGGGUGAGUAACACGUAAACAACCUGCCUUCAGGAUGGGGACAACAGACGGAAACGACUGCUAAUACCGAAUACGUUCCACGGGCCGCAUGACCUGUGGAAGAAAGGGUAGCCUCUACCUGUAAGCUAUCGCCUGAAGAGGGGUUUGCGUCUGAUUAGGCAGUUGGUGGGGUAACGGCCCACCAAACCAACGAUCAGUAGCCGGUCUGAGAGGAUGAACGGCCACACUGGAACUGAGACACGGUCCAGACUCCUACGGGAGGCAGCAGUGGGGAAUCUUCCGCAAUGGACGAAAGUCUGACGGAGCAACGCCGCGUGAGUGAAGACGGCCCUCGGGUUGUAAAGCUCUGUGAUCCGGGACGAAAGAGCCUGAGGUUAAUAGCCUAAGGAAGUGACGGUACCGGAAAAGCAAGCCACGGCUAACUACGUGCCAGCAGCCGCGGUAAUACGUAGGUGGCAAGCGUUGUCCGGAAUUAUUGGGCGUAA
rnacentral:rRNA from 1 species